UACGUAGGGUGCAAGCGUUAAUCGGAAUUACUGGGCGUAAAGCGUGCGCAGGCGGUUGUGUAAGACAGGUGUGAAAUCCCCGGGCUUAACCUGGGAAUUGCAUUUGUGACUGCACGACUAGAGUGUGUCAGAGGGGGGUGGAAUUCCACGUGUAGCAGUGAAAUGCGUAGAUAUGUGGAGGAACACCAAUGGCGAAGGCAGCCCCCUGGGAUAACACUGACGCUCAUGCACGAAAGCGUGGGGAGCAAACAGG
rnacentral:rRNA from 3 species